rnacentral:rRNA from 1 species
UACGUAGGGUGCGAGCGUUGUCCGGAAUUAUUGGGCGUAAAGGGCUCGUAGGCGGUCUGUCGCGUCGGGAGUGAAAACUCAGGGCUUAACCCUGAGCCUGCUUCCGAUACGGGCAGACUAGAGGUAUGCAGGGGAGAACGGAACUCCUGGUGUAGCGGUGAAAUGCGCAGAUAUCAGGAGGAACACCGGUGGCGAAGGCGGUUCUCUGGGCAUUACCUGACGCUGAGGAGCGAAAGUGUGGGGAGCGAACAGG